rnacentral:rRNA from 1 species
ACAGUGCAAGUCGAACGGCAGCGGACCUUCGGGUGCCGGCGAGUGGCGAACGGGUGAGUAAUAGUAUCGGAACGUACCUUUCAGUGGGGGAUAACGUAGCGAAAGUUACGCUAAUACCGCAUAUUCUGUGAGCAGGAAAGCAGGGGAUCGCAAGACCUUGCGCUGAUUGAGCGGCCGAUAUCAGAUUAGCUAGUUGGUGAGGUAAAGGCUCACCAAGGCGACGAUCUGUANCGGGUCUGAGAGGAUGAUCCGCCACACUGGAACUGAGACACGGUCCAGACUCCUACGGGAGGCAGCAGUGGGGAAUUUUGGACAAUGGGCGCAAGCCUGAUCCAGCCAUGCCGCGUGAGUGAAGAAGGCCUUCGGGUUGUAAAGCUCUUUCGGCCGGGAAGAAAUCGCACGGGUUAAUACCCUGUGUGGAUGACGGUACCGGAAUAAGAAGCACCGGCUAACUACGUG